ensembl:lincRNA
AUGAAAAUGGCAGACAAUACCCAAACUUACUUGUGUGUGGGUUUUUAUGUUGCUCUCUCUUUUUGGGUAGGUAAUAAAUCUGUAUCAGAUGACUCCGGAGAUGUGGGAGGAAAGAAUUACUGCCUGGUAUGCAGGGCACCGAGGCCGAGCCAGAAAAAAAUAGGUAAAGAAAGUCAACAAAUGGCCAAGAGACAAAAACCAAAAAGAAAACAACAACAAAACCCCACAGCAACACACAAAAAAGCCAAAAACCAAAACCAAAACAGUUGACACACAAGAAGCUACCCCCCCUUCCAAUAGAGUAUAGAGGCAGGGGGCAGGCUGACUAAUUUAAGGCACUGUGCACUCAUAUCUGUGCACUAACAUAUGCAAAUAAAUGUGUGUGCAUUCACUCUAGAGUCACCAUAUUAUUCACUCUAGGGUCAUUAUAGGGUACAGUAGAAGUCCACAUGCCCACUUCUAAUUGUAAACUAGUCAUGAAUAACUACCCUUGCCAACUACUCGCUGAGUAUCUUUCAAAGAUAAGGCCUUAAAAGGCAGGUCAAAGACAAAUAAACAGAGAAAGAAGCUGCAUGUAGACCACCGGAAGAAAUGAUGGUAGGUGGAGGGGCCCAAAGCCAAUCCAUUUUCCUACAAAUGAAUCAAGUUUAUGUCAGAGUAGUACUGCAUGAGUGUAAAUACCACAUUUUCUUUAUUCAUUCAUCUGUAGAUGAGUACAUAGAGAUGGCUCCUGAGAUAUAGCUAUUAUGAAUUUUGCCGCUAUAAAGCCGAGUAUGUGUAGGUGACUGUAAUAUGAUGUCUUAACUCUUCCAGAAGGGCAAUAGCUGGAUCAAAUGGAAUUUCUAGUAUUAGUUUUUUGAGGACUCUCCAUAAUGAAUUCCAUCGUUAGUUGUACUACUUUGCAUUACCACCAACAGUGUAGAAGAGUUCCUUUGCCCUGCAGCCUAAUCAGCAUUUGUUAUUAUUUGAUUUCUUGAUGAUGGCCAUUCUUUUUGGGGUAGGUUUGGUUGUUUUAAUUUGUAUUUCUCUAAUGUUGAACGUUUCAUGUACUUAUUGGCUAUUACUACUUCUCCCGAGAAACUUCUACUCAUUUUAGUUGCCUAUUUUUUUGAUUGGGUCUUUUACCUUGGGGGUCUAAUUUUUCUGAGUUUUAUGUGUAUUGUACAUAUUAGUCCAUAGUGUGAGGAAUAGCUGGCAAAGUAUUUUUUUCUCAUUGUGUAGGUUUUCUUUUCACUCUGUUGAUUAUUUUUAAAUUGAGGUUAUUGGUACAUUUUAGGUAUACAGUACAGUUACAUUCAUCAUUGAGAUCUUGUACCUUUACAUGACAGGUCUUGGUUCUCAUUUUUUCCCCUUGUCCCUAUGUUCCCUUCAUCCCCUCCCCCCACCCCAUUUAUAAACAUUUUAUUUCCAUUUUCUCAUAUUUUUUUCUUUUCCCUUAUUACGUGUCCCCCACCCUUCCCACUUUCACUACACCUUUAGCUCUAUGUUACAUUGUCAAUUACCUCAUUAGGGUCUUAUGUACUACUAUAGUUUUUUCAAUCAAGAGAAACUAUUCGGUAUUUACACAUAUGUGACUUGUUUAUUUGACUUAGGAGAAUAUCCUCAAUAUAUAUCCAUUUUCCAAUGAAUGAAUCGAAUUUCUCAUUCUUUAUGGCUGAGUAGUAUUCCAUUUUAUAGAAAAUCCACAACUUCUUGAUCCAGUUUCCAACUGAUGGGCAAAUGGGCUGUUUCCAAGUUUUAGCUAUUACAAACUGUGCCACUAUAAACAUAGGUGCACAUAUAUCACUGUGGUAUGAUUCUUUAAUUCUUUUAGAAAGAUACCCAGCAGAGGGAUGGCUGAGUCAAAUAGAACCUCUAGCCCAAGCUCUUUCAGUUAUCUCCAUAUUGAUUUCCAUUGUGGUUGCACUAGUCUGCACUCCCACCAUCAAUGGAGAAGGGCUCCUUUCUCCCCAAAACCCUGCCAACAUUUGUUAUUGGUUGAUUUCUUGAGAGCAGCCAUUCUUUGUGGGGUGAGGUGGAAUCUCCAUGUUGCUUUUUUGUUUGCUUGGUUGGUUUUGUUUGGUACCGGGGAUUGAACUUGGGUCCUUGCACUUGCGAGGCAGGCCACCAAACCACUGAGCUCAAUCCCCAGUCCAUCAGUGUGGUUCUCAUCUCCAUCUCUCAAAUAACCGGUGAUGUGGAAUAUUUUCUCAUAUAUUUACUUGCUUCUUGUACUUAUUUGUCUGAGAACUGUCUGUUCAUUUCAGUGCCCAUGUUUGAAUCGUGUCUUUAUAUAUGGGGGCCUGAUUGUUUUGAGUUCUUUAUAUAUUCUAGAUAAUAGUGCUUUGUCUGAGGAGCAGCUGGUAAAAAUUUGUAGGUUGCUUCUUAGUUCUGUGGAUGUGGAUGGUUUCUUUCAAUAAGAUGAGAUCCCAGUUGUUGAUUCUUUCUGCUAGUUCCCGGGCUACUGAGGAUUUGUUCAUAAAGUCUUUUCCUAUGCCAAUGUCUUCAAAAGUUCUGCCUAACUUAUCUUCCAGCAAAUUUAGCAUUUCUGUUUUAAUAUUUAGACCUUUAUCCCCUGGGAUUUUAAUUUAGUGCAUGGUGAAAGAUAAGGGUCUAGUUUUAAUCUUUGGCAGGUUUAGAUCCAGUUUUUCCUACACCAUUUUUUAAAGAGGCCAUCCUUCCUCCAGUGGCGAUGGUCAGCUCCUUUGUCAAAGAUGAGGUAGCUGAGUACAUCUGGAUUUGUUUUUUGUGUCUUCCAGUCUGUUCUGCUGAUCCUCAAGUCUGUGUCUUUGCCAGUACCAUUCUGUUUUUAUUGCAGUGGCUUUGUAGUAUAGUUUCAAAUUGGGAAUUGUUAUACCCACUGCCGUAUGUCUGUUGCCUAGGAUGGCUUUUGCUAUUCUAGGUCUCUUAUUGUUCCAGUUGAAGUUUUGGAUUCUUUUUUCUAGUUCUGUGAAAUGUAGUGUUGGAAUUGGAAUUGGCAUUGCAUUGAAUCUGUAUUAACAGUUUUGGUAGUAUGGCCAUGUUCACUAUGUUGAUUCUUCCUACCCAGGAGCAGGGGCUAUCUUUCCAUUUUCUUAUACCUUCUUCGAUCUCUUUAUUCAGAGUGCUUUAGUUUUCAGUGUAGAGGUCUUUUGCUUGUUUUGUUAGAUUGAUUCCUAGAUACUCCAUUUUUUUGGAUGCUAUUGUGAAAGGAAUUGUUUCCCUAAUUUCUCUUUUCGUGUGUCUGUUAUUUGUGUAUAGAAAGGCUAUUGAUUUUUGGGUAUUCACCUUGUAUCCAGAUACUUUACUGACUCUGUCAAUUAAGUCUAGAAGUUUUUUUUUUAGGCAAUAUACAACAAUGGAACUACAAAACCAUUUACUAUCCAAUUACCAGAUGUUAGGGCUAUAAGGAAAUCUGAGAAAACCCUAGUCCCUUACAACAGUUGUCUAUUGAUAUUAUCAUGAAAGGAAAAGGUUUGUUCUUAUGCCCAUUUCCUCAUAAAGUGAACUAGACCAUAGCUAUGAAAUCAAAACACAGAAGGAUCAAAGCACCAAGGCUAGAGACAAGUUAGAUUUGACACCUACUAUAUAAACGACAGCAGCAUAGUGUUCCCUUCUCCAUCCACUUCUUACAAUCUCUCUCUCUAUCCCAGCUCUUAAUUUCCCCCAAUUCAACAUUCCAACAGGUGUAUCCAGGUCAAUAUUGGUUUUAGCUUUCUGGGACCUUUAAUUUGCUAUAUAUGUACUCUAUACUAAAUGUGAUUAAUUGCAAAAAAUAAUCUCUUCAAGAAACC